ensembl:scaRNA
CUUCAUUGGAAUGAAUGUGUUCGUGUGGUGUUGAGACUGACUGGAGCUUUGAAUGUGGUGUUUGUUUGUUUGUGUGUUUGUGUGUAUGUAUGUAUGUAUGUAUGUAUGUAUGUGUAUAUAAUUCUUUAAAAACUACACCGUGAUCUUAUUUGAUCCAAUCGGGAUGGCUGCCCUGCUCCCAUUUGGAAAUGACAAAAUCCGAAAUGCGAGCCAACUUGGCGAUGAGCAUGAGCACCAACUUCAGGGCAAUCACAAUUUGAAUUGUGGUUCGAAGUGAUGAAUUGAUCAGAUAUACUAGUUCGGAAGAGGCUUUGGGUUUUUACUCUAUCUCUCGCCCGGACAAUGAGUAUAUAAGCGAUUCUGAUCUUA